UGGGGCGUAGUCAAGUGGUAAGGCAACGGGUUUUGGUCCCGCUAUUCGGAGGUUCGAGCCCUUCCGUCCCAG
rnacentral:tRNA from 6 species